AUUGAACGCUGGCGGCAGGCCUAACACAUGCAAGUCGAACGAGUGGCGGACGGGUGUGUAAUGUCUGGGAAACUGCCCGAUGGAGGGGGAUAACUACUGGAAACGGUAGCUAAUACCGCAUACCAUCGGAUGUGCCCAGGUGGGAUUAGAUAGUAGGUGGGGUAACGGCUCACCUCGGCGACGAUCCCUAGCUGGUCUGAGCGGAUGACCAGCCACAAUGGAACUGAGACACGGGCCAGACUCCUACGGUAGGCAGCAGUGGGGAAUAUUGCACAAUGGGCGCAAGCCUGAUGCAGCCAUGCCGCGUGUAUGAAGAAGGCCUUCGGGUUGUAAAGUACUUUCAGCGAGGAGGCGUUACUCGCAGAAGAAGCACCGGCUAACGCCGUGCCAGCAGCCGCGGUAAUAC
rnacentral:rRNA from 1 species